rnacentral:lncRNA from 1 species
CGUACGCACGCACUUGCCACAAGGAGACGCUGUUCAGUUUACCGGAUCCUGUCCCGCGCCAGCCAACCAGGACAAGGCCGGGGAGCUCGAGACAGGCAGCCUAGACCAAGAACCGGAAGGAGGAAAAGGAACCGGAGGGAGGAAGAGGAGGGGCGGGACGAGACCACCAGGCAAGAGUCCAAACUUUCCCGCGGCGACCUAACUGCACCUCCAGUGUCUUCCCCCAGAGGGCACAGAAGCAGCAAGAAGGGCGGGAACACUUGACUGGGGUCCAUGCAGCUCUAGGCUGAGUCUUGCAGGGCUGAGCCCCCCAGGCCUGCUCUCCUGUGUCCUGGCCGCUCCGUCAGUGCCUGCCAGUGGGGUCCAGAGGGACCGUUUUUUUAACGCCUCUUUUGCAGUCUCCCGCAUUGACUUCAUAACCAAGUUCUGGGUCCCUGCCUCUGGAGUGCCUGAUGAGACAAAACGGCUCCUCGUCCUGCAUCCCCGCUGCUACUUCCAGAAUUCAGGCCUCGUGGUCUGGAGCCUGCACUGUUCCAUGAGCCUCCUGAGCAACCUGGAGUCCUCUGUCUUUCUUCCCUCAGUGAGAUGCGCCUACUUCUCCCUGGAGAAGCUUGAGGAAGCAGAAAUGCUGGAGAUGAGCUGCUCCUCACUCUCACUCCUGGGUGUGCUGGGCAGUGGGGUGCAAUGUGCACGUAGGUGCACACUCUCCCUGGGCGGCAGCGAGCAGCAGAGGUCUGAUCUGUGGUCGGAUGACGAGAGGAAGUGCAAGUAAAGCAGCUGCAGCGACGGAGUUUUGCUCUUGUUGCCCAGGCUGGUGCAAUCUCGGCUCACCACUACCUCUGCCUUCUGGGCUCAAGCGAUUCUCCUUCCUCAGCCUCCUGAGUGCUGGGAUUACAGAGACCUCGUCCGCACAGGGGCUUGUUCUUCUGUGUCUUUGCAGGGCUGUUUUGGACUCAGUAUUCACCUAAGCACUCCAAAUUACCCAGCACACCCUGCCUGCAUGGCGCUGCGCUGCACCUUCACUCUGGUCACGGGUCUGGCAGUCAGCUCACCAAUUCCUCCUGCUUCCCUGGGACUUGCCGGCUUUUAGCACUGCAAUUCACUCAGCAAACUGGGACUGUUGGUCACCCUACCUGGCAGCCAGUGAUAAGGUGAGGGCCACUCCUGGGAGGGAGGACACCUGUGGGGAAAAUUCUUGUGUUAUUUAUUUCUCCUUCGGGAUAGGGUGCCUGCAGCGCUUCAUGGGAGGGGGUGGGCUGAUGCUGCGGGCUCAGAAGUUUCAAGGGCAUCUGGGGAGACCAGAUAUUCAGAGACCUUCUAGAUGUGCCUGUUCCAUGUAUCAGGGACGCAGGUUUUCCCAACAGGGCUGGUGUCAUUGGCAUGACAGACCUGCCUUGGCUGAGCGUUCACCUGUCUUUGGAGUUCAGCCACCUUAGCAAGUCCUGGGUUUGUUCUUCAGACUUUGCUGCUCGCCCAUUGCCUGGAUCGGGGGCUACUUUGUAAACCACCAGGAAGACUCCAGUGUUUCUGGUUAAUUUUUAGAUGUUUGUUAAUUGCUCUUGGUCUCUCAUUAAUCCCCUGUGGGUCAUCCAGGAAACAUACUCACCACUGUCUGUUCUCUGAGUUUUCAUUUCCAGGCAUCCGCCCUGCCUGGAUCUCCUCACCUGCCAGGAACUUCCUCUCCACAAGCCGGCCAUCCCAGCAAAAGUUCUAACACCAAAGGUCUGGCAACUAGCCUGCCAUCUUGUGCCUGGAGCCGCCUGCGUGCCACCUACUCCCGAAGAUGGGAACCUUGUUGCCAGUUGGGCAGAUGCGGGGCAAUCCUGUACCAAGACCCCAUUUUACCACCUGCUUUCUCAGACCACUCUGGAACCCACUGUCUCAGAUUGUGUCCUCCAGGAAGCAGACCAUGAGAGGGAGUUGGCAGGGCCAAAGAUUUACUGGGGCUAACUAACACUCAGGAAAGGGAUAGGAAGGAAACAGGGCUGGAGAGCAGGUUGAGCCCGACCUGACAGUCUCGAGCAGCCCAACAGGGAGGUGUGGAGCAAGGGUUGCCCACUAGAGGGGCCUGCAUUGGGUACGGGUGAUGGGGUCCACAUGGUACCUGGCAUAUAGCAGGCUGUGCAAUCCAUAUUAACUGACUGGAUAAAUUAAUGCCCAGAAAAGGUGCCCUGGAGAAUGGGUGUGUGCUGAACACAAUAGGGAAGGGCCCAGCAUCUGCCUUGGCAUAGGCAGAACUGUGCUGUGCCCUGCAACAGGCCACCUGAGAGCUGCUUUGAUCUUGUGUGUACAUUAGAUGACUGCCAGGGGCAUGAAGGGGAUGUGCUUCCAGGGCAUUUGCUGGCAGGGCGUCUCGUGAUCUCUUGGUAUUGGUGUGAGCACAGCCUGGCAGGAGAGGGCAGAUCUCCAUGCAAAGUAUGUCAGAAAGCAGAUGGAAGCCAGGCCCCCUCCUGAAAGAGGCUCCUUGAAGAGACAGAGAAGAGUCCAUGAGAAUCAACAUUUUCUGAGGACUCCAACUGUGUGCCAAGAGAGUUCCCCUGCUGGUGCCUCCUCUGUAGUAAAGGAAAGGCUCCUGGGACCACAUUAUCAUUCUCUUCACUCGAGAGAUGAGGACACUGAAAUUCAGAGAGGGGAAGUGAUUUGCCUCAGCUUGUACUAAAGAAACAUUUCAACAGAGAACCCAGUGGAAAUUAUGACAUGUUAUCUUCUCAGAGUCCUGAACUCCCAUCCCUACCUCAGAAGAGACUCCUCUGUUCACAGAAGCUAAAGGCAGUUCCUUCCCAAUGGCAACUAUGUUUGGAUGUUGGAUCUACACUUUCUCAAGCACUGUGAUCUUCAAAUUUUUUCAGGAAGAAAGAGAGAAUCAGCAACAUGGCAUUGAAGGUACCCGUUGACAGUGACGUGCAUCACAGCAUUAACAGGAGAAAUGCUUGUGUGUGCAAAUGGGAGACAAAGGAAAGGGACCACCACAUCCAUGGAGUGCACCGCGUGAGAGAAAUGCUCAGGAAGGGAAUUGACCAGAUUGGCUGUGGAGAGAAAAGAGAAGGAACAUGGGAGGCAGAGCUGAGCAACCAGGCUUUCACUGCUGAAUGUCUGAGCCAGCUCCAUCGUACAACAGGAGUGAGGGAAGUACCUGCUUCACAAGGUUGUCAUAGCCAUCAAAUGGGAUCACACUCUAAAGGCAGUUCUGGAGGCCAGAAAUCAGAAAUCAAGGUGUCAGCAGUUCCAAGCUCCCUGCGAAGGCUCUAGGGGAUAAUCCUUCCUUGCUUCUUCCAGCUUCUGGUGGAUCCAGGUGUUCCUUUGGCUUGUGGCCGUAUCACUCCAACCUCUGGCUCCAUCUUCACCCUUACCUACUUCCCUGUGUAUCUUGAAUCUCCUGCCACUCUCUUAUAAUGACACGUCAUUGGAUUUAGUGCCUAUUUGGA